CAGAAGAAGCACCGGCUAACUCCGUGCCAGCAGCCGCGGUAAUACGGAGGGUGCGAGCGUUAAUCGGAAUUACUGGGCGUAAAGCGCAUGCAGGUGGUUUGUUAAGUCAGAUGUGAAAGCCCGGGGCUCAACCUCGGAAUAGCAUUUGAAACUGGCAGACUAGAGUACUGUAGAGGGGGGUAGAAUUUCAGGUGUAGCGGUGAAAUGCGUAGAGAUCUGAAGGAAUACCGGUGGCGAAGGCGGCCCCCUGGACAGAUACUGACACUCAGAUGCGAAAGCGUGGGGAGCAAACAGGAUUAGAUACCCUGGUAGUCCACGCCGUAAACGAUGUCUACUUGGAGGUUGUGGCCUUGAGCCGUGGCUUUCGGAGCUAACGCGUUAAGUAGACCGCCUGGGGAGUACGGUCGCAAGAUUAAAACUCAAAUGAAUUGACGGGGGCCCGCACAAGCGGUGGAGCAUGUGGUUUAAUUCGAUGCAACGCGAAGAACCUUACCUACUCUUGACAUCCAGAGAACUUUCCAGAGA
rnacentral:rRNA from 1 species